GUUCUGAUUUGUUUCUGUCCUGCAUGGUGAACAGCGGGAAAGAUUGUAACUGUUCUCUUUGCCAAGGACAAAUCUGAUCU
rnacentral:miRNA from 1 species